GACGAACGCUGGCGGCGUGCCUAGUACAUGCAAGUCGAGCGAAUCUUGAGGUGCUUGCACCUCUUGGUUAGCGGCGGACGGGUGAGUAACACGUGGGCAACCUGCCUGUAAGACUGGGAUAACUUCGGGAAACCGGAGCUAAUACCGGAUAAUCCUUUUCCUCUCAUGAGGAAAAGCUGAAAGUCGGUUUUUCGCUGACACUUACAGAUGGGCCCGCGGCGCAUUAGCUAGUUGGUGAGGUAACGGCUCACCAAGGCGACGAUGCGUAGCCGACCUGAGAGGGUGAUCGGCCACACUGGGACUGAGACACGGCCCAGACUCCUACGGGAGGCAGCAGUAGGGAAUCUUCCGCAAUGGACGAAAGUCUGACGGAGCAACGCCGCGUGAGCGAUGAAGGCCUUCGGGUCGUAAAGCUCUGUUGUUAGGGAAGAACAAGUAUCGGAGUAACUGCCGGUACCUUGACGGUACCUAACCAGAAAGCCACGGCUAACUACGUGCCAGCCGCCGCCGUAAUAC
rnacentral:rRNA from 1 species